AGUACUUCAAUUUCAACCUCUUUGAUCAAUCAUAUACAUUUGCACCGAUUUAUCAGGAUUUUAUUUUUAAAAAAAAUGGAGGAAACAUGAUAGAGAUAGAUGACAAAUUUCUGCGAGGAUUCGAUGAAUGAAUACCCGAGAGUGAUAUUAUUCACAUUACCUCGAGUGUGUCUAUAUAUAAUUUCUCAUUUAAACAAUGGUUCACGAGCGAUGCAUUUGCACCGUGUAGCAGCAAUGCAAUUCUACUUUAACAUAUCGAUUCACGUACGUCGAAAGUUUCAGAAGGCCACGGCAAUACGAUUGAACGAGCAAAGCCUCUAAAAGAGACGAGAACUUUUACACGAAUUUAAACUUUCCAUCAAGAAGGAAGAGGAUCCCGUCGUUUUUGAUGGACAACGAACCGAUCAAAGAUCGAUCCUCGAUCGGUGUUAAUGAAAUUAGCGGGCGAUGGCCGAGGGAUAAGACGCUGUGCAGAGCGGAAAACGCGGAUGAGAGACGGAUUCGCGCGGAAGAGUCGGCCCAGCCGGAUACCUGAUAUCGGUAUUAACUCGACCAUAAAGCAUUCCGCAGGCCGCGUCCACAAAGUGAUUGCGAUUGCGCCUCGGGCAUUACAACGCGCAGAUUUAUGAACAGGAGUUGCCUGCGAACAAAAAUUGGAAAGGAGAUAGGAUAAAGGUUUCAUUUGUGAAAGAAGAACGAAGGGAAUAAUGAUAUAUGUAUAUGUAUAAGGGAUGGUAUGAAGAAUGGUAAUGAAGCGGAUCUAAAGAGGAUCUCGGAUGAUUCUGCCGCGAGGAUUCCGAUCCAAAUUGUCAGAAUCCUUCGAGUCUGGAGGGUGUUGGAGACGUUACAAAAUGCGUUCCGCAAUGCAGACACCGCGGAACCUUUGUACAGCUCGAUGCCAGCUGUGAGGAGUGCCAAGUAAAAACUGAAUAUUUGUCGCCUUAAUAUGUCCAAUAAAUAUGCUUCAAAUUGCGAGAAAAGAGGCAGCAGAUGAAAAGCAAGCGGAGCAUUCGAUUUAUCAUAUUCAAAAUAGUUUUAGAUCAACGACUAUUUUUAAUUUUGUC